rnacentral:rRNA from 1 species
GCUUACGGCCACACCGCCUGGUUCACGCCCGAUCUCGUUGAUCUCGGAAGCUAAGAUAGGGUGGGCCUGGUUAGUACUUGGAUGGGAGACCGCCUGGGAAUACCAGGUGUUGUAAGAU